rnacentral:rRNA from 1 species
GACGAACGCUGGCGGCGUGCUUAACACAUGCAAGUCGAACGGAAAGGCCCUGCUUUUGUGGGGUGCUCGAGUGGCGAACGGGUGAGUAACACGUGAGUAACCUGCCCUUGACUUUGGGAUAACUUCAGGAAACUGGGGCUAAUACCGGAUAGGAGCUCCUGCUGCAUGGUGGGGGUUGGAAAGUUUCGGCGGUUGGGGAUGGACUCGCAGCUUAUCAGCUUGUUGGUGGGGUAGUGGCUUACCAAGGCUUUGACGGGUAGCCGGCCUGAGAGGGUGACCGGCCACAUUGGGACUGAGAUACGGCCCAGACUCCUACGGGAGGCAGCAGUGGGGAAUAUUGCACAAUGGGCGGAAGCCUGAUGCAGCAACGCCGCGUGCGGGAUGACGGCCUUCGGGUUGUAAACCGCUUUCGCCUGUGACGAAGCGUGAGUGACGGUAAUGGGUAAGGAAGCACCGGCUAACUACGUG